rnacentral:misc_RNA from 1 species
AAAUAACAAAGGGUAUAAAGAACAACUCAGCGGAAUCUUAACAAGAUUGCAGUUUUGCUUAUGUGUUAGCAAUGAAUCAAGUACAUUUUACUUUUAAGGUGAAAAUAUAAUACAUAGUUUGCAUAAGGAUUGGAAAAAUGAAAAAUAGAACUCCUAAAAAAUACCAUUAUCAAAAUUAAGCACAUUUCUGCAAAUAAAUUAUGGUUCAUUCUACAAUUCUUAGUUUUAUUAGAAUUUGCUUGAUUAUAUCUUCUUAUGUUAUUUAGUAAAAAACCAUUACAGGCUCAACAAUCCAAACAUUGUAUCUAACAAGGAAAGGAAAAGAAAGAAUUAAAGUUGACCAUCAUUACUGGACCCA